UAUCUCUGUAGAGUCUGCAUAUCAAUAAGCGGAGGAAAAGAAACUAACUAAGGAUUCCCUCAGUAACGGCGAGUGAAGCGGGAAGAGCUCAAAUUUGAAAUCUUCAAGGUUCUACCUUGACGAAUUGUAGGUUUAAAGAAGUGUUUUCUGUUGAAGUUUCGGUAAAAGUUCUUUGGAAUAGGACAUCAUAGAGGGUGAGAAUCCCGUAUUUGACCAGUUAUUUCCAGCUGUGUGAUACACUUUCAAAGAGUCGGAUUGUUUGGGAAUGCAGUCCAAAAUGGGUGGUAAAUUUCAUCUAAAGCUAAAUAUUGGCGAGAGACCGAUAGCGAACAAGUACCGUGAGGGAAAGAUGAAAAGAACUUUGAAAAGAGAGUUAAACAGUACGUGAAAUUGUCAAAAGGGAAGCGUUUGACACCAGUGUUGUUUUCUCGAAAAUCAAUUAAAAAAGUUGGAUUUUGUAUUGUUAAGACCUUAUCAGCUUACUGUACUCUUUUCUUGCUUUUUUUAAUGCACUUUUCGUUUAACAAGUCAACAUCAAUUUCUUUUGUUGUAAAAGAGUCAUUGGAAGGUGGCUUUCACUUCGGUGAAAGUGUUUAUAGCCUUUGGCUUCUGCAAUCGGAGAGAUUGAGGUCUGCAGCGUAGAUCCUUCGGGGCUAGAUACGUAGAUGCUAAGUUAUAGUUUUUUAUAGACAACUUGUUGACUAUAAUUAAUCAUGUAGCUUACUCGUUUGCGCUAUUUUACCUACGCUUAGGAUGUUGAUAGUCACAGCGUGUAC
rnacentral:rRNA from 1 species